UACGAAGGGGGCUAGCGUUGCUCGGAAUCACUGGGCGUAAAGCGCACGUAGGCGGAUUGCUAAGUCAGGGGUGAAAUCCUGGAGCUCAACUCCAGAACUGCCUUUGAUACUUGCGAUCUCGAGUCCGGGAGAGGUGAGUGGAACUGCGAGUGUAGAGGUGAAAUUCGUAGAUAUUCGCAAGAACACCAGUGGCGAAGGCGGCUCACUGGCCCGGAACUGACGCUGAGACGCGAAAGCGUGGGGAGCAAACAGG
rnacentral:rRNA from 1 species